AACGAACGCUGGCGGCAUGCCUAACACAUGCAAGUCGAACGAGACCUUCGGGUCUAGUGGCGCACGGGUGCGUAACGCGUGGGAACCUGCCCUUAGGUUCGGAAUAACUCCCCGAAAGGGGUGCUAAUACCGGAUAAUGUCUUCUGACCAAAGAUUUAUCGCCUUUGGAUGGGCCCGCGUUGGAUUAGCUAGUUGGGAAGGUAAAAGCUUACCAAGGCGACGAUCCGUAGCUGGUCUGAGAGGGUGAUCAGCCACACUGGGACUGAGACACGGCCCAGACUCCUACGGGAGGAAGCAGUAGGGAAUCUUCCGCAAUGGGCGAAAGCCUGACGGAGCAACGCCGCGUGAGUGAUGAAGGUCUUCGGAUCGUAAAACUCUGUUAGUAGGGAAGAACAAAUGUGUAAGUAACUAUGCUCGUCUUGACGGUACCUAAUCAGAAAGCCACGGCUAACUACGUG
rnacentral:rRNA from 1 species